ACCAAGUAGUUUAACAACUUUUUCACAAGUUAUAGUGGCGAUAUAGAAACGUAUAGGUUUUAUUAAUUAACUACAUGUUUGCACGGUUAGAUGUUGUUUUAAGUUACACCCAAAAUAACAUUUGAUUUAAAAGAAGUCAGACAGAGGUAAAGGCAUAUAGAAUACACUUAAAGAGUGAAGUUUAUAAAUAAUUGUGAAAGGGAAAGUAGAGCAGCAGAAAUGGAUAAACUUCAGAGGUAUUCAGUGGAUGUUCAUGACUUCCUUGAUACACACAGGGUGACUGUGGUGGCUACUUUAACAACAGGAAAUCCGCGAAACAGCGCACGUGAGGCCCAGUCAUUUGAGCAAGUAAGAAAAAAAAAGAUAUAGUGUUCCACUUCAUUGUUCCCUAGCUGUAGAGUUGUUAGGGAAAACCUGUAUUGUUAUGUUAAAAAGAUAAUUAAAUAAAGGAGUAGAAUUUA